CAUCUACAUGUGGUCCUUUCUUUAUUAAGUUUUUAAAGGUGCUUGAGCAGAGAAAAACUCAUCAUUGGCCAUUCUGCUGCUUCUGUCAUCAAACUUCUCGGGCAACAACAGCGCUUUUGUUAGUCAUCACCAGACUUUGGAAAAAAGAUACGAAGGGUUUCUAUGGCGAGUGAUGCACCAAGCUGGGCUGAUCAAUGGGGUGCUGGAGGAAUCGGUGCCAUGGAAGAUGAGGAUGCUACAGCCAAGAAAGAGAACGGCAGCAAGAAGAAAUCCGAAGGAAAAGGUGGGUUCAAUAAGGCCAAAACAGCAGCUUUGAUGGGAGCCAAGAAAUUCAAGCUUGGGGUAUCCAAGGGCAUAACAUGGGUCAAGAACAAAUGCCAGAAAAAGGGUUCCUCCAAAUGAAUAUGUAAACAUCCACUAGACCAGAAUUUUGUCAGAAAUUGUUUGAUUGUUUAGCCCACGAUUUGAAAACAGCUUAAUUAGUAGAGGACUUAGAUGUGUUUCUCAUUCAUUUUUUGAGGGAACUACAUUCUCCCAUUUAUGGCACUUUUAAGCAUUAGAAAGUU